GAUGAACGCUGGCAGCGUGCCUAAUACAUGCAAGUCGAACGCACAGCGAAAGGUGCUUGCACCUUUCAAGUGAGUAGCGAACGGGUGAGUAACACGUGGACAACCUGCCUCAAGGCUGGGGAUAACAUUUGGAAACAGAUGCUAAUACCGAAUAAAACUCAGUGUCGCAUGACACAAAGUUAAAAGGCGCAUUGGCGUCACCUAGAGAUGGAUCCG
rnacentral:rRNA from 1 species